UACAGAGGGGGCAAGCGUUAUCCGGAAUUAUUGGGUGUAAAGGGUGCGUAGACGGGUGUUUAAGUUGGUUGUGAAAUCCCUCGGCUCAACUGAGGAACUGCAACCAAAACUGGAUAUCUUGAGUGUCGGAGAGGAAAGUGGAAUUCCUAGUGUAGCGGUGAAAUGCGUAGAUAUUAGGAGGAACACCAGUGGCGAAGGCGACUUUCUGGACGAUAACUGACGUUGAGGCACGAAAGUGUGGGGAGCAAACAGG
rnacentral:misc_RNA from 1 species